UAUAAAGUGAGUAAAGUACGUUUUAAAAGCUUUUAUGUGCGCUGGAUAUAACGUGUUGAAUGCACCACUAGAGGGCACUGCAUACACACAUACGCUUCUUUUUUAUUUAUUAGCUAUGACCAUCACCUCUAUAUUUUAGCAAAAGAACGCAAAGGCCCCGAGUCUGGCGUGGACACAUACAGGAAACAACUGAAUCUGAUGAUGAGGGAACAGAGCUCUGUGAGAAGACCGACAUGUCUGAAAGUGAGGCUAAACCUGAACCAGAAAAGAAUGCUAAAUAAAUGCUGGAUAUCAUGAUCAUGAUUCUUCAGGUCUGGUUAACUAAUAAUGCCCCAAGAAUCAUAUUUGCUAUUUUCUUGUGUGACUUUAUCAAUUUCAAUAAAUAUUCUGAAAUUAAGUAAAAAAACA